AUACGGAGGGUGCAAGCGUUAUUCGGAAUUACUGGGCGUAAAGCGCAUGUAGGCGGCUUGACAAGUCAGAUGUGAAAGCCCACGGCUCAACCGUGGAAGUGCAUUUGAAACUGUUAGACUUGAGUCCGAGAGAGGGAGGCGGAAUUCCUGGUGUAGAGGUGAAAUUCGUAGAUAUCAGGAAGAACACCGGCGGCGAAGGCGGCCUCCUGGAUCGGUACUGACGCUGAGAUGCGAAAGCGUGGGGAGCACACAGGAUUAGAAACCCCGGUAGUCC
rnacentral:rRNA from 1 species